rnacentral:rRNA from 1 species
UACGGAGGGUGCAAGCGUUAUCCGGAUUCACUGGGUUUAAAGGGUGCGUAGGCGGGCAAGUAAGUCAGUGGUGAAAUCUCCGGGCUUAACUCAGAAACUGCCGUUGAUACUAUUUGUCUUGAAUAUCAUGGAGGUAAGCGGAAUAUGUCAUGUAGCGGUGAAAUGCUUAGAUAUGACAUAGAACACCAAUUGCGAAGGCAGCUCACUACACGAAUAUUGACUCUGAGGCACGAAAGCGUGGGGAUCAAACAGG